CCCUUUUAUAAUUCUGGGGCUACACACACGCUACAAUGGGUGGUACAGCAGGUUGCAAUGGAGUGAUCCGGAGCUAAUCCUCAAAACCAUCCUCAGUUCGGAUUGCAGGCUGAAACCUGCCUGCAUGAAGUCGGAGUUGCUAGUAACCGCGUAUCAGCAUGGCGCCGGUGAACCUACGUUCUCGGGCCUU
rnacentral:rRNA from 1 species